rnacentral:tRNA from 1 species
GCAAAAGUCAAGUGGUGAGUAUUCCCGACUGUCACGCGGGUGACUCGGGUUCGAUCCCCGGCA